UACGUAGGAUGCAAGCGUUGUCAGGAUUUAUUGGGUUUAAAGGGUGCAUAGGCGGUCUAUUAAGUUAGUGGUGAAAACGUUCGGCUUAACCGGAUACCCGCCAUUGAUACUGAUAGACUUGAGUGCGACAGAGGGUGUUGGAAUGUGUGGUGUAGCGGUGAAAUGCUUAGAUAUCACGCAGAACACCAAUUGCGAAGGCAGAUGCCUAUGUCGUAACUGACGCUGAGGCAAGAAAGCGUGGGGAGCAAACAGG
rnacentral:rRNA from 1 species